AGCCCCCGCUCGCCACAACAAGAGAAAGCCUGCGUGCAGCAACGAAGACCCAUCGCAGCCAAAGAUUAAAAAAAAAAAGUUAACACCUCUAGCAAGGGAGACUCUGUUCCCUAAAAUGGAAGAAAGGGGUGCAGGGGCUCGUCUUUUGGAAUCCCGGUUCUUGGACGCCGUGCCUUAACAAGGUGUCGGGUGGAGCCGUGGUAAGACGCUCGCGGGCCGGCCUGCGAGUGCACAGGGCCUCGGCCUCCACUGCCCUCGCGGGGACAAUCUCCGGGGCCCAGGGACUGAGACGCUCUCCCUCGGCUCCCGGGCAGGCGCACCCGCAGCAGCUCCAGCCGGAGCCCCUAGGCGGCGCGGCUCACCUUUCCUUGAGGCCGGUCCUAACACCCGUGGGGCUCAACCGGGACCACGGGCGCCGCUGCGGGCGGAGGCCACCCUGCGCUACCUUGGAAGGAGGGCAAGGGCGUUGGAAGGUUGGAGACGGCCCACUGCCCGGCGGAAUGCCGCAUCACAGUUCCGCCCGCCCGGGGCGUGGGAACAGCGGACGGAGGAUGCAGAAGUGCGGAGAGACGGCUUAACAUCCGGGUCCUCACUCUCGUCCUCGCCAUCCUCCCACCCUGUGCCCCUCUUCACGGUCUUCCAAGGCGGCCAGGUCCUCAGGGGACUCCUGUCCUCCCCCCUGGCACCCACACACUGGGCACGGGGGGGGCGUGACUGGGGCCUCAGCCGACCAUGCAGACCCCGCCCCACUCCGCUGUCUCCCGGCGCCACCGCGGGGCUGGUGGCUGAUGUCGAGCUAAGGAGAACCAGCAAGUAGCACUAGUGCCUGCGUCUGUGUUCCCUGGAAGUUGUCUGUAUAAGGGUUCUUAUAACUGGGAAGGGCGGUCACCUGCGGUUGGUCUGCCAGCCUGCAAGAAACGGAGGCACAGAGCAACGUGCUGCCCACCACCAGGGAACAGAACUCCAGAACGUGGGGCAUUCAAGACGGCGAGACGAGUCCCUUCAAAAUCACAGUCCAGAAAAAGGGUGGCUGCUUUAUGGCAAAAAAUUUAAGACACAAAUAAAUACAACACUUGGUCCUCGAUUAUAUGCU